rfam:Salmo salar isolate Sally breed double haploid chromosome ssa02, whole genome shotgun sequence.
UCCCGUGUGGCUCAGUUGGUAGAGCAUGGUGUUUGCAACGCCAGGGUUGUGGGUUUGAUUCCCACGGGAG